AUGGAGAAGAACGUCUUCAAAUGAGAUAACGUUUGAACAAAGGAGAGAAGUGACAUAGUUCUAAUGGUGAAAUGGGCUCGAGCUAUGAGUCAAUUCGUGAAGAUAGUUAUCAAUGGAUCUAUUCUGUCGUCUAUUGAAAACUAGUAUAACUUCUCAUGUUUUAGUUCCAAAGGCACAUUGAGCCAGAUAAGAGCUCAGUUUUCAACUAAACCUUAGCCACCACCAUGAUUCAAAUUGUCAUUGUUUUGUUCCUAAUUAAAUGAAUAAAAAAAUUAUAAGACGAAAGAAAAAUCAAAACUUGAGAAGACCGACUUGUAUAAUAAUAUCUUGCCUUUGAAUUCAAUUAAUUACAAGAAUAGCCUCCUGGGAAUAUCCAAAAUUCGCAUCUUUUUGG
rnacentral:lncRNA from 1 species